GUAGGGAAUAUUGCACAAUGGAGGAAACUCUGAUGCAGCGACGCCGCGUGAGUGAUGAAGGCCUUCGGGUCGUAAAGCUCUGUCGCAGGGGAAUAACACAAUGAAGGUACCCUGUAAGAAAGGAUCGGCUAACUUCGUGCCAGCAGCCGCGGUAAGACGAGGGAUCCUAGCGUUGUUCGGAAUCAUUGGGCGUAAAGCGGAUGUAGGUGGCUAUGUAAGUCAGAUGUGAAAGCCUGGGGCUCAACCCCAGAAGUGCAUUUGAUACUGCGUAGCUUGAGUGUCGGAGAGGUUACUAGAAUUGUUGGUGUAGUGGUGAAAUACGUAGAUAUCAACAGGAAUACCGGAGGCGAAGGCGGGUAACUUGCCGAACACUGACACUGAGAUCCGAAAGCGUGGGGAUCAAACAGGAUUAGAUACCCCAGUAGUCC
rnacentral:rRNA from 1 species